rnacentral:rRNA from 1 species
CAGUCGAGCGGACGGAUGGGAGCUUGCUCCCUGAAGUCAGCGGCGGACGGGUGAGUAACACGUGGGCAACCUGCCUGUAAGACUGGGAUAACUUCGGGAAACCGGAGCUAAUACCGGAUAAUUCUUUCCCUCACAUGAGGGAAAGCUGAAAGAUGGUUUCGGCUAUCACUUACAGAUGGGCCCGCGGCGCAUUAGCUAGUUGGGAGGUAACGGCUCACCAAGGCAACGAUGCGUAGCCGACCUGAGAGGGUGAUCGGCCACACUGGGACUGAACACGGCCCAACUCCUACGGGAGGCAGCAGUAGGGAAUCUUCCGCAAUGGACGAAAGUCUGACGGAGCAACGCCGCGUGAGUGAUGAAGGUUUUCGGAUCGUAAAACUCUGUUGUUAGGGAAAACAAGUACCGGAGUAACUGCCGGACCUUGACGGUACCUAACCAGAAAGCCACGGCUAACUACGUGCCAGCAGCCGCGGUAAUACGUAGGUGGCAAGCGUUGUCCGGAAUUAUUGGGCGUAAAGCGCGCGCAGGCGGUUCCUUAAGUCUGAUGUGAAAGCCCACGGCUCAACCGUGGAGGGUCAUUGGAAACUGGGGAACUU